rnacentral:misc_RNA from 1 species
AACGCACCUUGCGCUCCUUGGUAUUCCGAGGAGCAUGCCUGUUCGAGUGUCAUUAAAUUUAUCAACUUUUAUUUGACUUUUUUUGGUCAGUAAAGGAUUGGACUUGGGGGUUUAUUUUGCUGGCUUCAUUUUAGAAGUCUGCUCCCCUUAAAUGUAUUAGCUGGUGCACUUAGUGGUAUCAUCUAUUGGUGUGAUAAUUAUCUACGCCGUUGGAUGUCUAAUGCACUGCUUCUAAUCGUCCUUCUGGACAAUUUAAUUGACUAUUUGACCUCGAAUCAGGUAGGACUACCCGCUGAACUUAA